rnacentral:rRNA from 1 species
GAUCAUGGCUCAGGAUGAACGCUAGCUACAGGCUUAACACAUGCAAGUCGAGGGGAAACGAUAGAGAAAGCUUGCUUUUUCUAGGCGUCGACCGGCGCACGGGUGAGUAACGCGUAUCCAACCUGCCCAUCACUUGGGGAUAACCUUGCGAAAGUAAGACUAAUACCCAAUGACGUCUCUAGAAGACAUCUGAAAGAGAUUAAAGAUUUAUCGGUGAUGGAUGGGGAUGCGUCUGAUUAGCUUGUUGGCGGGGUAACGGCCCACCAAGGCGACGAUCAGUAGGGGUUCUGAGAGGAAGGUCCCCCACAUUGGAACUGAGACACGGUCCAAACUCCUACGGGAGGCAGCAGUGAGGAAUAUUGGUCAAUGGACGAGAGUCUGAACCAGCCAAGUAGCGUGCAGGAAGACGGCCCUAUGGGUUGUAAACUGCUUUUAUAAGGGAAUAAAGUGAGUCUCGUGAGACUUUUUGCAUGUACCUUAUGAAUAAGGACCGGCUAAUUCCGUG